GGGGUUGUAGCUCAGUGGUAGAGUGCUUUCCUCACAGGUGUGAGGCAAUAGGUUCAUUCCUCAGCAUCA
rnacentral:tRNA from 1 species